GGGAAGAAGGGCACAGGUCACCAUCAGGAAUCGGUUUGGGCCCCUGGCAUCACUGAAGGAGCAAGGAUAGCUUUGCUGCCCUUACCUCCCUGGCCCACACAAGGUGGCACUUCCUGCAUGUUUGUGCCCGGCAUCUAGAGGGGCAAUACAACUUCCUAGUGGAAAUGUGUUUUACUUCUAAAGAAGCAUUUGAGAGAGAGAUGACCCCACCCAUUUCUCAUCCUCUUCUUCCGCACAGCCAGCUUGUGCCUAGCUGGGCUCCCACCUCCGCUGGGAAGGCUGCCUUCUUGGCCUCCUGUGAGUCCAGACCACGCCCCAUCCCUGCUGUCUCCACACUGCAGCACUCUGCACCCUGAACUGCUACUGUGCGAUACGGAGCUGCCCUCCUCCUGCGGUGCUAAGAGCUCAAGGUCCCGUCUUCUUAGCUGCCGCUGCUGCACCACUAGAGUAGGAAUGGCUGUGUGUGCCAGUAACUCCAGCAGCCCGGGAGGCUGAGGCGGGAGGAUCGUGAGACUGGAGCCAACCUGAAUGAUGCCGUAAAGUGAGCCUCUGUCGCAAAAUGAGCAAAUGUCCAGGGUGCUUGCCCGACGGUGCUACUUCAUACAGCCCAGUCCCUUCCUCCCAGGAGCUAUUGACUCUGACCCUUAGCAUCCUAAACUGACAAAGGGAAAACGAAAGGCAUGAGAGUCCGCGCCCGUUGUCUUUCUGGGCACAGAACAAGGGGUGAGCAUGGCUUGGGUGAGAGUGGGCAGGUGAGGUGCAGAAGACGGAAGUGGGCGGGGCAGGCAUUUCUCUGGUUCACCUGCUUGAAGGUAACAGUACCUAGGGGAGCCAGAGAUAGGGACAGGGCCCUCCCCGGCUCUGGCAAACAAGAGGGUGGGAGUCAGUUUUAUUUAACCAGGACAUGUUUGUCAGCAUCUGGAGGUAAUUGGGUUGUCACACUGGAGGGGUGGUGUGUGUGUGUGUGUGUGUGUGUGUGUGUGUGUGUGUGUGUACAUUGCAUAUGGUAAGAAAUGCUCAGGGAAGUUAUGAAACACCCCACAGUGCACAAGGCAGCAAACAGCUAUACAGUCAAAGUCUAACCCAGUAGUGCCCCUUAGCAACAAGGGAUCUUCCCCGAGACACCCAAUCCCCCGUGGGUGCCUGAGACAGCACUGAGCCCAAUAAACAGUAUGGUUAGUCCCACACAUGCAAGCUGUGGUAAAGUGUGACUUAGAAAUCAAAUGAGCCAGGCCUGGUGGCUCAUGCUUGUAACCCCGGCACACGGAAGCUGAGGCAGGAGGAUCACAUGAGUUUGGGGGUCAACCUGUGCAACAGUUUCACAUCAACCUAGGCUAGCGUAAGAAACUCUGAAUGUUCAUUCUCUUGAUAUCUCGCUGCACGUUCAGCUUCCCUCUGAAAAGCCUUGACAGCUACUCUUUGGCAUCUGUGACCAUCCUUCCUUGUGAAUCUGUCAAACAUUCACAAUCAGCCCCUAUCAGCAAUCACCAAGCCUUCCUCUCCCAGUCUCCUCUCCUCACAAGGAGGCAGCAAAUACAGCCGUUGCCACAAGGGGGCGCACUUUCUCCCCGACCCAGGGUUUCCACCCUGGUGUUUCCCACCAACCAGCAGGAAGGGCCCUCUCUGUCAUUACCCGGGCGUCUUUGGCAGAAAGGGAAAACAACUGCAGCCACACUCGCAUGGUUUCUGUAAAUCCCACAUCUUUCUCUCUGGAUCCUCCACCCCAGGAAUCAAAAAGAGCAAAUGAUUCCACGUUCAUUUCACAGAAAACUGCAAAAGGACAGAAAAGCCAGAGAACCCUCAGUUCUGACUUUAGGAAAGCCCUGGACUUGGACGCUAUCCCUGACUUCCCCGUCACCAAAGGGUUAUGAAGACAAAGAGAAACGUGCAUGAAAGAGACUGACAGCUGGACUCUACUCUAGACCAAGAAGACACAACAAAAGCAAAAGGAAUGCAGAAUUAAAACUGAAAGGAAAUUACAUGAAGAGUAAGAGGGAAAGGACUCCAUAGUCUGCUUACAACUCGUUUGGGAGGCUAAUUUCAAAGUCUCAAGCCUUAUGGUUUAGCCUAUCUAGAAUUUUCCAUAAGCUUCCCAGGGCUCUGGGUCAGCCACAAAAUGGCUCUCUCAGUUUCUUAAGCUGAAAUCAACAAGACUGUUCAUACUCUGGCAAAACACUCCCCCUCACCUAAGCAGAUCACAUACGGCUCAGAAUGUCACCAGUGAGACAGAGGCUCCCAGGGCCACUAAUGGGCUUUAAAGAAUAUUAAUGCUUAAGGACAGCAACACAGGUCAUUUUGCACAGCAGUUACUUUAAUCGCCACGCCCGGGCUCCAUCCAAGCAGCAGCAGCGUUUCCUCAGCAGCCUCCUCCCUCCAAAAGUCCCUCAGUGACCGCCGCCGGGAGACUGCUCAAAGCACAUGCCGUCUACUUCACAUGGAGCCAGUUCCUGAAUGUCACCUGGCAGUCAUCCAGUGACACCUCCCAAGAUUAUGUUACUUUGGUAUUUGAUACCCAGUGGGUGUUGACAGUUACUACCAGACCUUCUCAGGAGCCCGUGUCACCUUCAUUAACACGCGUGACCCCCAUGGGUGGAGGCCUUGUUGUGUAGUGCUCCUUACUGACAAAACCAAGGGAAUCUUAGUAGUUCAGCUGGUUCUCCCAACUCCACUCCACUGAAACAAAACCGAGUUCUGGACAGUGAUAUGUGUCAAGCUGCCAUCAAAAACCGUUAUAUGGUUUUUAAUAUAACUAGGUGGCUCUGUGCUGCAGAUCAGACUGCCAGGUGUGGGGUCCCCUUACUAUGUGGAACAGGAUUCAAGGAUCACUUCUCCCUCUGGAUUAGCUGUAUGGAGAAUUCUACUUGCCCCAGGUCCCAGGAGAACAGAGAGUGAGCCCCCACUAUACAUUCAUGAGAGAUGUCACACAGGGCGACAGUGGCUACUUUUGCUCAACAGGACUGGCUCAUUCCACCAGUCAUCUUCAAGCCCAAGGGCACAGGAAUGCUCUCCGGUUCCAGAGUAAGAGGCAGAAUACAGCCUGAUACCUGAGGGCAUACACUGAUGUUUUCUAAUUGUCAGGGGUCAGGGGCCAGACUGAACACAUCCAGUCAUUAAAUGGAAACAGAAGCCAUCUGGGUUAGCAGUGGCUGUCCCUGGUUAUAAUAUGUCAGAAAAGGACGCUACGACCACAAAACUAAAUCCAGGAGGCUUACAUGACUUCACCCCAACAAGGAAUACUGAAAUAUAUCUCAGCAGAAGCUACUCUUAAAACAAUGCUGGGACUCUGUCCAAAGGCUGACACACAUUCUUGUUGCUUGCGUGUGCUGCAAACUGUACGUCUCUAGGACAAGAGUCCUGUUUAAAAUUUACAUUGAGAUUGAUGCUGACUCAACACAUUAUUAAAGUGGAACUCCAGUAGAUAUAGUAAAUGUCUAGACACUGACAGGAGAGUUCUGCUUGGACCAUACACCUACACUGCUUCAGUCCCAGACUCUGUGGCUCCCUAAAGACAUUACAGUCUUGCGCCAUCCAACGACUGGUGAGAACUUAAUCACAGGACCCCCCGGAGAAGUGGCUUCUUUAGCAAGCUUUCGGCUCUGGUUUGUUGGCCGAACACUAAUGUCUUCUUUAAGAUGUUUACAUUUCUUGUGACAUCUGCCUGGAUUUCUUAUCACUUCCCAUCCAAGGCUUAAGAAGGACACGGAGCCAGGACAAGUGGGGCAGAAAACACAAGUGUUUUCAAGACCCUCGUGGCUCAAAGUUGAAUCUGAUUUUUGGAACUGCAUUAAGUAAUCUGAUGCAGUCACGUAAGCUUAACCCCGCCCCAUCUCUAGUUCUCAGGAUUAGUCAGAAAGUAAGUGAAGCUUACAGAGACCCUUGAGGCCCUAAACACCCUUGUUACAACAUGGAGGAGGGGAAUGACGGUUUAGUUCCCGACACGUGACAGCUCACAACUGUUGCAGGCAAAACUCUCACAAGACAAACUUCAAAUCAUCUUAAAACAACAAUACCACCAUAGGGAGAUCUGCGGCAGUUUGCUGAGCAGCCUCUACUGGCCUUCCUCUUGGGGCUAACACACAGCUGACAAUGGCCUUCUGGCAGUCUUUGGCUGACUUAAGAGUCACUGUCAAACGAUGCUAGCGAUGUCUGCGAUGCUAACAAACUUGAUCACAUGCACUUGGCUCCUACUGCAGUCAAUCGUUGAUGAAGCAAAAGGUUCCCCCCAAAGGAUGUCAGUGUGAUGACAAACUGCCUAGUCUGAAGGGAAGGACUGAAGGACAAGGGGGCUGGGGCAGACCUGCCCUCUGUCCCUCAGUCAUAGUGUUCCUUUAAAAGUGGAACUGAAACCUACCAAGACGAUCCAGGGGGACCGGAAGGCAACCCUAAUACUUCUGGAAGAGGAAAGGGAUACUGGGAAGGGAGGCCAAACAAGUAAGUGAUGAGCAUGGAGCAGUGGACAGAAGG
rnacentral:sRNA from 1 species